ACCUAGUUUCGCCAAAAUCACUUGGCAUCUCCUUCGUGUUUCCCUGUGACGGCAACUUCUCCUUCCCGUUUUGCCCGACCGCCUUCUCCUUCGCAUUCCCCCCAAGCUUCUCCUUCGCAUUUUCCCUCGACGACAACCUUCUCCUUCGCGUUUUCCCCCGACAGCAACCUUCUCCUUCACGUUUUCCUCCGACGGCAGCCUUCUCCUUCUCGUUGUUGCCCCGACGGUAGCCUUCUCCUUUGUGUUUUCCCCCAGUGGCAGGCAACCUUCUCAUUUAUCCCCAACGCAAAGGCUUCGCGUUGAGACGCCUUCACUUCCUCUUCUCUCUGCACGGUUAUUCAUGAAAAGCAAAAAUAAUAGACGAUGCAUUAUAAAUAUCAUCACAGACGGUCUCCCAAGUUUGCAGCAUCAAAAAAUAAGCAGUAUUAAAUCAAUCUCAGUAUAAAGAAGUCAGAAGUGAAUGAAGCGAAUACGUCUACUUCUAUGUGGGUGCUUAAUUGUAGGCUAUAAUAUAAACUUUGUAUUGUAUUAAAGAUUUAUGGAUACAAAAACUUUUGGGUUAUGGUUAAACAUGUCUUUUAUAAAUACAUUUUUGGCUUGUAUUUGAUAGAUAUUUGUGAUAUAUUUGUUCAAUUUUGGUGUUGAAAAA